CGGCGGACGGGUGAGUAACGCGUGGGUAACCUGCCUCAUACAGGGGGAUAACAGUUAGAAAUGACUGCUAAUACCGCAUAAGCGCACAGGACCGCAUGGUCUGGUGUGAAAAACUCCGGUGGUAUGAGAUGGACCCGCGUCUGAUUAGCUAGUUGGAGGGGUAACGGCCCACCAAGGCGACGAUCAGUAGCCGGCCUGAGAGGGUGAACGGCCACAUUGGGACUGAGACACGGCCCAG
rnacentral:rRNA from 1 species